UACGUAGGGGGCCAGCGUUGCUCGGAAUUACUGGGCGUAAAGAGCUCGUAGGCGGUUUGGCAAGUCGGGUGUGAAAACUCCGGGCUCAACUCGGAGACGCCACUCGAUACUGCUAUGACUCGAGUCCGGCAGGGGAGUGCGGAAUUCCUGGUGUAGCGGUGAAAUGCGCAGAUAUCAGGAGGAACACCGGUGGCGAAGGCGGCACUCUGGGCCGGUACUGACGCUGAGGAGCGAAAGCGUGGGGAGCGAACAGG
rnacentral:rRNA from 1 species